GUGCUCGCUUCGGCAGCACAUAUACUAAAAUUGGAACGAUACAGAGAAGAUUAGAUGGCCCCUGCGCAAGGAUGACACACAAGGCAAGGUCAGUCAAGGCUGGCAU